CCUACGGGUGGCAGCAGUGAGGAAUAUUGGUCAAUGGGCUUACGCCUGAACCAGCCAAGUCGCGUGAGGGAAGACUGCCCUAUGGGUUGUAAACCUCUUUUGUCAGGGAGCAACGCCGGCUACGUGUAGCCGGACUGAGAGUACCUGAAGAAAAAGCAUCGGCUAACCCCGUGCCAGCAGCCGCGGUAAUACGGAGGUUGCGAGCGUUAUCCGGAUUUAUUGGGUUUAAAGGGUGCGUAGGCGGAAUGCCAAGUCAGCGGUAAAAUCGCGGGGCUCAACCUCGCCCCGCCGUUGAAACUGGCGGUCUUGAGUGGGCGAGAAGUAUGCGGAAUGCGUGGUGUAGCGGUGAAAUGCAUAGAUAUCACGCAGAACUCCGAUUGCGAAGGCAGCAUACCGGCGCCCAACUGACGCUGAAGCACGAAAGCGUGGGUAUCGAACAGGAUUAGAUACCCGAGUAGUC
rnacentral:rRNA from 1 species